AAAAUCUGUUUGAAUAAAGGGGAACCUUCCUCUAAGGCUAAAUAUGAUAUAUAAGCGACAGUGAACUAGUACCGAGAGG
rnacentral:rRNA from 1 species